rnacentral:rRNA from 1 species
UACGUAGGGUGCGAGCGUUGUCCGGAAUUACUGGGCGUAAAGAGCUCGUAGGUGGUUUGUCGCGUUGUUCGUGAAAACCUGAGGCUUAACCUUGGGCGUGCGGGCGAUACGGGCAGACUGGAGUACUGCAGGGGAGACUGGAAUUCCUGGUGUAGCGGUGGAAUGCGCAGAUAUCAGGAGGAACACCGGUGGCGAAGGCGGUUCUCUGGGCAUGAUCUGACGCUGAGGAGCGAAAGUGUGGGGAGCGAACAGG